rnacentral:rRNA from 1 species
GAUGAACGCUGGCGGCGUGCCUAAUACAUGCAAGUCGAGCGAACGGACGAGAAGCUUGCUUCUCUGAUGUUAGCGGCGGACGGGUGAGUAACACGUGGAUAACCUACCUAUAAGACUGGGAUAACUUCGGGAAACCGGAACUAAUACCGGAUGAUAUUUUGAACCGCAUGGUUCAAAAGUGAAAGACGGUCUUGCUGUCACUUAUAGAUGGAUCCGCGCUGCAUUAGCUAGUUGGUAAGGUAACGGCUUACCAAGGCAACGAUGCAUAGCCGACCUGAGAGGGUGGUCGGCCACACUGGAACUGAGACACGGUCCAGACUCCUACGGGAGGCAGCAGUAGGGAAUCUUCCGCAAUGGGCGAAAGCCUGACGGAGCAACGCCGCGUGAGUGAUGAAGGUCUUCGGAUCGUAAAACUCUGUUAUUAGGGAAGAACAUAUGUGUAAGUAACUGUGCACAUCUUGACGGUACCUAAUCAGAAAGCCACGGCUAACUACGUG